rnacentral:lncRNA from 1 species
GGGUCAUUGUUGUGGUGUCAUGGCCGCCAUCGGGGUGUCAUGGCCGCCAGGGUCAUCGUUGUGGUGUCAUGGCCGCCAGGGUGUCAUGGCUACCUUGGUGGUGUCAUGGCCGCUGGGGUCAUCGCUGUGGUGUCAUGGCCGCUGUGGUCAUCACUGGGGUGUCAUGGCUGCCACCAAGGUGUCAUGGCUGCCAUUGAGGUGUCAUGGCCGCCAGGGUGGUGUCAUGGCCGCCAUCGAGGUGUCAUGGCUGCUGUCGAGGUGUCAUGGCCGCCGAGGUGUCAUGGCUGCCGCUGAGGUGUCAUGGCCGCCGUCGGGGUGUCAUGGCUGCCGGGGUGUCAUGGCUGCCUUGGUGGUGUCAUGGCCGCCGGGGUGUCAUGGCCGCCAUCGAGGUGUCAUGGCCGCCAUUGAGGUGUCAUGGCCGCCUUGGUGGUGUCAGCGCUGCCUUUGGGGUCGUCACGGUGAGCACCACGAUGACGUCACACCAACCACGAUGACGUCACACCAACCACGAUGA